AGCCUCACAAAGUUCACAAUUCGGGAAAGCAUUAUAUGACUUCACUGCCGGUGGUGAUGAUGAGCUAAACCUGACAGCAGGAGAGGAUCUCGAAAUCGAUUAUGAGGUGGACGGUUGGUUCUAUGUGAAGAAGAAAAAACCUGGAAGGGAUGGCAAAAUGGCUGGGUUGCUACCUGUCCUCUAUGUCAGCCAAUCUUGACAUUAUCUAUCUGAUUCUAUAAAUAUUUCAUAAGUUCGAUCCCUCUUGCUUCCACUACCCUUUACCAUGACUC